UGAAACACAGGUUUUAAUUACAAAAAUGUAAAUAUUUUUUUAAAAACAUUAUUUGCACUUUUAACCUAGUGUUCCAUGGUGACGUAUGUGUGGCACGGCAAGCAGGCGCCACAUAAGCAAAAGCGAGAGUGUCUUUUGAGGGUUGAACAUUUUUAAAACCAAAACCUGGGUUUUAUUAAUUAAUUAGUGUUAUUGUUUAAUUAGAAAAUAUAAGUUGGAUUCGAAUUAAUAAUUAUAUUAAUAGUUACAAUAAUAUUAAAGAUAUUAACAAAAUAAUUAAAAUGAUAUUUGAUACCCACCUCAUAAUGUCUAAACUCCAUGCGAACUAUUGAUCGCCUUUAGAUAAUAACAACAACAUAACAUUGAUGAUGAGUUGAGAUGGCAUUAUGAUCCUGAAGGUAUCUACACUGUUAGAAGUGGGUACAGAACUGCUCUAGAAGGUAAAGGCAUUCCAUUAGCUUCUGAUUCUUCCAAAAAAAGUCGAGUGGUGGAAGUAUUUAUGCGUGCUUGUAUGCCUGUGAAAAUCGAAAUUUGUCUUUGGAAAUGCUGGCUUCCUGUGAGAGUCAAUCUUACCAGAAGAGGGAUGAAAAUUAAUCAGGAUUGUCAUGUGUGCAAUUCUGAUCAGGAAACUAUUAUUCAUGUUUAAUGGUUCUGUUAAAGUGCUCAAGCGGUUUGGAAAAAUUGGCAUGUAGCAGCAACUCUGAAUCUUGAUGGGGGAUGGAGCAAACAAGACCUGAUUUAUCAUGCUUAUAGUAAAAUGCUUAAAACUAAUUUUCUGAUGUUUUAUUUUGGCUUCUUUGGAAUAACAUGAAUGCUGCUGUUUUUGAUAAUGCAACUAAGAGUCAGCUUCUGGAUUGCGCAGUGUGUUAUCUCGAAUAUCAAAAGAUUCAAAAAAUGGCAAGCUGCAGAACCCAAAUCAACCAAAAUGAGCACCGAUAGUCGAUGGAUUCCUCCUAGAGCAGGCACCUUCUCAGUCAUUCUUAAUGCAAGCUUUGAAAAGAGUACAAGUUUUAGCACAAGGGUGGCCAUAAAGAUAUCAAUGGUAGGACUAGAGCAGCAGCUAACAGACAGUACAGAGGUUAGCUGGAAACAAGGGCAGGAGAAGCUUGUGCCAUUAGAGAUGGACCGCUCUUGGCGACGGAGGUGAACCCGAUUUCCUUCGAGGUCCUCUCAGACUCAAAGCUUAAAUAUAGCACAAAAGCAUGGAGCAUAAAUCCAUAAUACAGCACCUGGAUUCGCAUUGUGGACAGGAAGUUGUAACCAGGAACAUAUAUGGAAUUGCUGCAUUGCUACCUCCUCAGAGCAUAUCAAAAGUUUCAGAGGCAUCGGAGGGAAAUCUGCCGGUCAAUGUCAUUCACAGAGUCCACCUGGAAAAUUGAUAGGCAAGUUGUAACAAUUUCAUGCUCGUAAUCAUGUAAUGAGUUUCAUUCAGUUCUUUGCCGGCACAUCUACAGGUUUGAUGCAGUAGACACGGGAUCCAAGAUGCUCAACUUCUAGGCCAGCAGCUUCACACCCAGUGAAGAAUAGAGAUUCAUCCUCCUUGCCAAUUCUGCGUCUCCAACUCAUUAAAAAUGCUGGCCGCGGAAGCUUUAUAUAUGUUCCUGCCAACAUUGACAAACAAAUUUAGCAAAAUGGUCAAUUUCGUAUUCUACUUCCUGUGUCUUCCACAAAAGGUUAAAAAGAUUCUAGUUUCUUCUUUGAGAAAAGUAAUGAUUCAUUAGCACAAUACCUUCAUUCUGCUUAAUUUCUUUCACUACUUUGUCACUUUUUGGCUUGUAGGAUUUAAGGAGAAACGAAAGUGUUUUAAUCAAGUUGGGAUACUGUUUCACGUCUGCAAGCAUUAGAGAGAAAUUAGUAUAAUCUUGAAAGAUUCCUGGUGAGAAAAUAGGCAGGAAGCUAAUAAGAAAUUCGAACAUAACGUAUGCGGUCCCAUGUAAAUCAGCAGUCUUACUAAAUUAGCAUAUGGCGACCAUGAAACGUGAUGUACACUACUUUCUACAUGACAGUAGAAAUUUGUCUUCGGCUGUUUAAUUCUUUAUAUUAUUAUUAUGCAAUAUUAUCCCA